rnacentral:rRNA from 1 species
ACACAAAUUGCCGGCCCAUAUCCGAACUCUGCAGGCUACGCUCCCUCCGGAGUCCGCCGGUCUGCCCAAGCCCGCCGCAGGUAACUCGCCGCCGGCUCCAUUACACGCGGACGCGGGCAAAGCUCAAUAGCCGAGCGCCCUUGCCGCCCGGCCGGGGUGAUCUCCGCCGCCGCCGUACCCUAGAGCUGCCGGCGUUACCGCGGACAGUCGUCUUCUCCGCCGCUCAUGCUCGUCCCCGUUGCCGUGUACCUUGCAAGCUACGACCGUGAAACACUGCAGGUUUUUGAGUGUUCGGACCCGGGAAUAUGCUGCAGACUAAGAGAGCUGCCGAUGAUGAUCUCACAGAAAGCUCGAAAAAGAAUGGAAGAGUCUAUACUGGUGGAGGAGAGACACUUGAUGUGUUGAUUUCAGGGGAUUUGCAUCCAGAUGUCAAUUCGGAAGAGCCGAUUGACAGCUUUAGUGACUCUGGCCAAAGUGUUUGGAGUGAGCUCAGUAAAGAAGCCACUUCAAAAAUUUCUAGAAAUGUUGUCUCCCUCGCUUUGUCUGAUGGACAUACGGUGUUGUUUGCAUGCUCAGGCAUAGCCUUGCGAAGCGGGCGGUAUGUGACAAGCUUUCUGACUUCAGCAAGUUUGGUUAGAGCUUUCAAUGAUAAUAACAGAGAAGGCCAUGAUACCUUGAAUAUCGAAGUGCGUCGCAACGGUGAGGUUGCCAAAGGGAUCUUGAAAAGCUAUGAUUCGGAUCAGGGGAUUGUUGUUGUCCAAGUACUGUUUGUCACUCUUGGUGUUCAUCCAGUGGAUCUCAGUCCUCAGGUGGAAUUUCUUCCCUGUAGGAAGGUAGUAGCUGUCACACGUGCCGAUUCUGGCACAUUAAUGGUCGCAAGUGGGAUACUUGCUGUUGAGUCAAGCGGAUCUGAAGAUGGCAAACAGCUUAUGUUCUCCACUUGUAAAAUCUCUGAGGCUUGGGAAGGUGGGUCGCUUUUUGACUAUGAUGGGAACUUUGUUGGCUUGAACCUUUCUUUGGUUGGGGAAAGAAUUUAUUUCAUGCCAAGGAGUAUAAUUAUCGAACGUUUGGAGGAACUUCUGCCAAAAAAGGAAGCUAAGACGUUCAGGAAUGUAGAAAUACAGAGAGAGGUACAGCCCUGGCCCUAUUGCACCUAUCCAAGCGACAGAUCUGGGGAUCUAGACUCCUUGGGUUAUCCAAAGCCAUCAUCGACUGUUGUCAGUGAGGGCUUGGUUUUGGUUAAUACCUUCGAAGAGACUUUUGGUGAAGUAUAUGAUUCUGGUAAAGGUGUAAUGGGUUCUCAUAGUUUACCUCGACGAGUUGUCUCACUUGCUUCAUUCAGCGGAGAAAGGAGGUUUUUCGUGUGCACAGGCUUAUUUAUUGACUGGAACGGAUGCACCCCCAUUCUGACUUCAGCGAGUUUGGUUAGGGAUCCUAAAGAUGAAAACAAGAUUGCUGAAAAGUUGAAGAUUGAAGUUUUGCUUCCAAACAAAGAGCGCAAAGAAGGGAAAUUGCAACAUUAUAAUUUAUACUAUAAUGUUGCUCUCAUCGUUGUCGAGGAUUACCGUUGUCUUCGUCCAGCUAGAAUUCAUGAAGAUUGGUGGAAUCCUUUUACUCUGGAAGAUCCCAAUGUAGUAGCUGUGGGGCGCUGCUUCAAAUCUGGCAGGUUAAUGGCUACACAUGGAAGACGAACUGGCUGGUCAGGCAUGCUUGAUUACAGAGAUCUUAGGUACUCCAGUUGUAAGAUUACUAAGGCUGGGAUUGGUGGUCCUCUGCUUGACUUUAAUGGGAGAUUUAUUGGCAUGAACUUCUAUGAUAAGAAAAUAGGAACCCCAUUCAUAUUUAGGGACUGUAUUAUUCGAGUGCUGGCAAAUUUUGUGGAAAAAAGGUAUGCACACUUGACUUUCUGUCUGGCAUAUUGAAGUGCCUGUCAUGUUUCAGAUCAAUGCAGGACGUGACAUUUUGUGUUUUAUCAAAAAAAGAAAAACUUCCCAUUGAAUCUUGCCUACUUUGUUUGACACAGGACUUUUGAUGAAGUUGGCAGUGAUGGACCAAUCAGGUGGCCUGUGCCCAUACCGUGCUGGCGCCAUCCGGACGAUGAGCUCAAAGAUUCGCUCCCACCUGGCCAUGGGGAAAAAUCUGGGACGUUCGGAUUCUCAUAUGUGGAUGGAGUUAGAGUCGAUAACCAUUAGAUGUCCUGUGCUCUUGCUCUGCUCUGUGCUGUCCAUGUGGUGGUGAACCUGUUUGUAUGAGCCGUUAGGAAGUUAUCUCUCAUGUAGCCAUGUCCCAAUGUUUGGACUAGUAUUUUGGUGUUCCUUUUAUCAGAAUGAAUGUAAUUCAUCAAGAGCUAUUUGGUGUUCGCCAGUUUCUGCCGUAGCUGAACAUUUUCUGCAUCUUUGGGAAGCAUUUCUACGUGCAAGCAAACGGAGUGACUGUAAUUGUUCACUUGUACUGUC